GACGAACGCUGGCGGCGUGCUUAACACAUGCAAGUCGAACGGAAAGGCCCUGCUUUUGUGGGAUGCUCGAGUGGCGAACGGGUGAGUAACACGUGAGUAACCUGCCCUUGACUUUGGGAUAACUUCAGGAAACUGGGGCUAAUACCGGAUAGGAGCUCCUGCUGCAUGGUGGGGGUUGGAAAGUUUCGGCGGUUGGGGAUGGACUCGCGGCUUAUCAGCUUGUUGGUGGGGUAGUGGCUUACCAAGGCUUUGACGGGUAGCCGGCCUGAGAGGGUGACCGGCCACAUUGGGACUGAGAUACGGCCCAGCCUCCUACGGGAGCCAGCAGUGGGGAAUAUUGCACAAUGGGCGGAAGCCUUAUGCAGCAACGCCGCGUGCGGGAUGACGGCCUUCGGGUUGUAACCCGCUUUCGCCGGUGACGAAGCGUGAGUGACGGUAAUGGGUAAAGAAGCACCGGCUAGCUAGGUG
rnacentral:rRNA from 1 species